rnacentral:rRNA from 1 species
UCAGCAGCCCGCGGUAAUUCCAGCUCCAAUAGCGUAUAUUAAAGUUGUUGUGGUUAAAAAGCUCGUAGUUGAACCUUGGGCCUGGCUGGCCGGUCCGCCUCACCGCGUGCACUGGUCCGGCCGGGCCUUUCCCUCUGCGGAACCCCAUGCCCUUCACAGGGUGUGGCGGGGAAACAGGACUUUUACUUUGAAAAAAUUAGAGUGCUCAAGGCAGGCCUAUGCUCGAAUACAUUAGCAUGGAAUAAUAGAAUAGGACGUGUGGUUCUAUUUUGUUGGUUUCUAGGACCGCCGUAAUGAUUAAUAGGGACAGUCGGGGGCAUCAGUAUUCAAUUGUCAGAGGUGAAAUUCUUGGAUUUAUUGAAGACUAACUACUGCGAAAGCAUUUGCCAAGGAUGUUUUCAUUAAUCAGGAACGAAAGUUAGGGGAUCGAAGACGAUCAGAUACCGUCGUAGUCUUAACCAUAAACUAUGCCGACUAGGGAUCGGUACGAUGUUACAUUUUUGACGCGUUCGGCACCUUACGAGAAAUCAAAGUGCUUGGGCUCCAGGGGGAGUAUGGUCGCAAGGCUGAAACUUAAAGAAAUUGACGGAAGGGCACCACCAGGGGUGGAGCCUGCGGCUUAAUUUGACUCAACACGGGA